rnacentral:tRNA from 1 species
GCCCAGCUGGCUCGGUCGGUGGAGCACACGACUCUUGAUCUUGGGGUCAUGAGUUCAAGUCUCCCGUUGGGUG